GCCGGAUCUUCUCUGUAUUUGAUUACAAUUCUUUGUAUCACCUGGUUACGAUGGGCAGGAUUGUUAGUAUAUUUUUCGAAACUGCUGUUUUUUACUUGUUCUUUAAACGUUUCAUUAUUGGCAUAUUUUUCAAUACUCCUGUUUUUUACUUGUUCUUUGAACGGUUCAUUAUUAGCAUAUCUUUCGGUACUACUGUGUUUUAAUUUUGCUUGAUACUGUUCAUCACAUUUAUAUCUUUGUUGUGUUUUUAGCUUUUUAACUUGCCUAUAUUCUGCGUCCUCAGCAUAAUUUAUUUUGUUUCUUCGAUUAUUUACUUUAUCAGUUAAUUUUUUUACGUGGUGAAACAAGGUUUGCCUUGGGCAUUUUGUGCGACAUUUCACAGAAGCCAGUUAAACUAAAGCAUGUAUGAGAGGUUUUUCCUUUAACACAUGCAAUUGGUUCAUAAUGGCAUUCGUUGCAGUGAUUCAGAUAUAUAGCUUUUCUUGAAAUUGGCUCAAUGUUCGCCGUAAACGUAAUCCAUUUCUGUUGACUGUAUGUGUAAAUAUCAACACAGAGCAAAUCUGCAGAAGCUUGUAUUUCCAACUCUGUUGCCCAAGAUCCAACAUAUUUCAUUUUUGAGUCCCGGAGAUAUUGCUCCACAGAAUCAAAUUGCCGUCUUAGACAAGUAAUGUAAUUAAGUGGAUUAUUUGAGAUGUGAUUCACUACAGCCUUUCGAAAGGCUGUGUGAUGUGACUCGCAACCACUCAAUACAGACGAAAGAGAACGAAAGAAACAAUUACCGUCACCUUCAAUGGAUGUUGUUUGGCAUGGCUCAGGCUGUGCCAUAUCGAAGAAAUUAAACAGACAUCUGAUGCACCCUCUGUGUGAAUUGGAGGAUCACUGUCAAUGUUUACAGUUGUGUCACAUGUAGAAGUGUUUGCUACAGGCUGCACAGUUUCAAGGGAAAAAGACGCGUUUACUGCAAGAGAAUUUCUAUCCGUUACCGAAAGGACACAGAGAUCAGAGUCACUGUCAGUGUCCAAAGUACCGUCAUGUGCCAAAGUGCUGGCU
ensembl:lncRNA